UUUUCAUCAGACAAUCUGUGUGAGCACUUCANNNNNNNNNNNNNNNNNNNNUUCUUUAAGGUAAGGAGGUGAUCCAACCGCAGGUUCCCCUACGGUUACCUUGUUACGACUUCACCCCAGUCAUGAAUCACAAAGUGGUAAGCGCCCUCCCGAAGGUUAAGCUACCUACUUCUUUUGCAACCCACUCCCAUGGUGUGACGGGCGGUGUGUACAAGGCCCGGGAACGUAUUCACCGUGGCAUUCUGAUCCACGAUUACUAGCGAUUCCGACUUCAUGGAGUCGAGUUGCAGACUCCAAUCCGGACUACGACGCACUUUAUGAGGUCCGCUUGCUCUCGCGAGGUCGCUUCUCUUUGUAUGCGCCAUUGUAGCACGUGUGUAGCCCUGGUCGUAAGGGCCAUGAUGACUUGACGUCAUCCCCACCUUCCUCCAGUUUAUCACUGGCAGUCUCCUUUGAGUUCCCGGCCGGACCGCUGGCAACAAAGGAUAAGGGUUGCGCUCGUUGCGGGACUUAACCCAACAUUUCACAACACGAGCUGACGACAGCCAUGCAGCACCUGUCUCACGGUUCCCGAAGGCACAUUCUCAUCUCUGAAAACUUCCGUGGAUGUCAAGACCAGGUAAGGUUCUUCGCGUUGCAUCGAAUUAAACCACAUGCUCCACCGCUUGUGCGGGCCCCCGUCAAUUCAUUUGAGUUUUAACCUUGCGGCCGUACUCCCCAGGCGGUCUACUUAACGCGUUAGCUCCGGAAGCCACGCCUCAAGGGCACAACCUCCAAGUAGACAUCGUUUACGGCGUGGACUACCAGGGUAUCUAAUCCUGUUUGCUCCCCACGCUUUCGCACCUGAGCGUCAGUCUUUGUCCAGGGGGCCGCCUUCGCCACCGGUAUUCCUCCAGAUCUCUACGCAUUUCACCGCUACACCUGGAAUUCUACCCCCCUCUACAAGACUCAAGCCUGCCAGUUUCGAAUGCAGUUCCCAGGUUGAGCCCGGGGAUUUCACAUCCGACUUGACAGACCGCCUGCGUGCGCUUUACGCCCAGUAAUUCCGAUUAACGCUUGCACCCUCCGUAUUACCGCGGCUGCUGGCACGGAGUUAGCCGGUGCUUCUUCUGCGGGUAACGUCAAUUGCUGCGGUUAUUAACCACAACACCUUCCUCCCCGCUGAAAGUACUUUACAACCCGAAGGCCUUCUUCAUACACGCGGCAUGGCUGCAUCAGGCUUGCGCCCAUUGUGCAAUAUUCCCCACUGCUGCCUCCCGUAGGAGUCUGGACCGUGUCUCAGUUCCAGUGUGGCUGGUCAUCCUCUCAGACCAGCUAGGGAUCGUCGCCUUGGUGAGCCGUUACCUCACCAACAAGCUAAUCCCAUCUGGGCACAUCUGAUGGCAAGAGGCCCGAAGGUCCCCCUCUUUGGUCUUGCGACGUUAUGCGGUAUUAGCCACCGUUUCCAGUAGUUAUCCCCCUCCAUCAGGCAGUUUCCCAGACAUUACUCACCCGUCCGCCACUCGUCAGCAAAGCAGCAAGCUGCUUCCUGUUACCGUUCGACUUGCAUGUGUUAGGCCUGCCGCCAGCGUUCAAUCUGAGCCAUGAUCAAACUCUUCAAUUUAAAAGUUUGAUGCUCAAUGAAUUAAACUUCGUAAUGAAUUACGUGUUCACUCUUGAGACUUGGUAUUCAUUUUUCGU
rnacentral:rRNA from 1 species